rnacentral:misc_RNA from 1 species
GAUGAAGAACGUAGCGAAAUGCGAUACUUGGUGUGAAUUGCAGAAUCCCGUGAACCAUCGAGUUUUUGAACGCACAUUGCGCCCCCUGGUAUUCCGGGGGGCAUGCCUGUCCGAGCGUCAUUGCUGCCCUCAAGCACGGCUUGUGUGUUGGGCCCCGUCCUCCGAUCCCGGGGGACGGGCCCGAAAGGCAGCGGCGGCACCGCGUCCGGUCCUCGAGCGUAUGGGGCUUUGUCACCCGCUCUGUAGGCCCGGCCGGCGCUUGCCGAUCAACCCAAAUUUUUUAUCCAGGUUGACCUCGGAUCAGGUAGGGAUACCCGCUGAACUUAAGCAUAUCAAUAAGCGGAGGA